rnacentral:rRNA from 1 species
UACAGAGGUCUCAAGCGUUGUUCGGAUUCAUUGGGCGUAAAGGGCUCGUAGGCGGCCAACUAAGUCGGAUGUGAAAUCCCCAGGCUCAACCUGGGAACUGCAUCCGAUACUGGAUGGCUUGAAUUCGGGAGAGGGAUGCAGAAUUCAGGUGUAGCGGUGAAAUGCGUAGAUAUCUGGAGGAACACCGGUGGCGAAGGCGGGUCUCUGGGCCGAAAUUGACGCUGAGGAGCGAAA